rnacentral:lncRNA from 1 species
AUGAUUCGCUGUUCUAGGGUGCAGAGUAUAACAAUGUAUGAAUCAUAGACUUGUUGAGAAAUGCUAUCGAUCAUGUAUGCAUAUGUGAUUCGCUAUAUCCCUCUGUAAUAUGUUUCAUCCUAUGUUUCGAAUUUCUUUUAUAUGAAGUGAGGGAAGUGAAAUGCAUAUAUGAAGAUAGUGAACUGAGAUGGCAUGAAAUACCUUGAAUGAUGCUUGGUGUUUAUUGGCUGCUCGUUGGUGCUGAAUGAAACAGGGAUUAACUUGAAGUUUUAGUAGAGAAUGAAUGACAGCCCUUCUCCUUCGUUUAUGGAGUAUUGAAUGAAGUGAAACUGAAAAUGAACGUAUCUGUUGUUGCUUAAUGAUUGCAGGUGAAUCAAGGUG